rnacentral:lncRNA from 1 species
UCUAUUGGUAUCAAGGAUUCUAAUCAGAAGAUUGGAAGCAAACAUUGUUCCCAUAGAUUUUGUAAUUAACUUAACAAAUUUAUUUUAAAAAUUUUAUUUUAAAAAUAACUUUGGGCUUUCACUAUUUUUUCGGAUCCCUUACACUCCCUUGAUAGAGAUACGAAAAUCUCCACGAUCAAAGAUUUUUAAUGGGUGCUGUGGUCUCACUGAUUGGCUCACCACCUCACCUAACAGUUUUUGGUGAUGGAUCAACAGAUGAGUGGACAACUCUUGUCUGAUAUUUCUCCAAACAUGUUAAAGCUAUCUCCAAUCUCUAAUUCAUGAAGCCUCACCAUGUCUGAAAUAUUGGCCUACUCCUUAGUUAAAUCAGACCCACCGUUUGUGCAAAAUGGAGCCGUCAUUGGAACUCUCACCGUGUCCAAAAUAUUGAGCCCAACCCCAUCUCCAUCCUACAGUAUCUCAUGCUUAAUAGUAUGGUUGCAACUUCUCGAUGCAAUGGAAUCACUGUAUCCAACCGAAAACAAUUAACCCUGAAAAGGGCCCGCACAACUACAAUGGUGGAAAACCAUAAGAUUUAAUAUUUUAUUAUGAAGAUUUGAUUUAAGUCACUUUCUUAGUUAGUCAUAACUGUUAUGACUAACCUAGUAGUAUGGGCUAGCUCAAGUCAAAAAAUAAUCUAAUACAAAAAAUAAUCUUCCAAAAUGGCUAGAUAAAUUAAGAUGAGUGGGAAUUUCUUCGUUGCUUUUCUUAGACACUAACAAAUUGGUCAGAUCAGACAACAGAAUCAAUUAAUAAACCACCAUCUAAAUAUUUACCUUAGAUACCAAAUUGGUUGAUUAGAGUUCAAACCAUUGAGCCAAAUUAG